rnacentral:rRNA from 1 species
GACGAACCGUGCGAACGUUGUUCGGAUUCACUGGGCUUAAAGGGCGCGUAGGCGGGUGUCCAAGUCCGGGGUGAAAUCCCUCGGCCCAACCGGAGAACAGCCUCGGAUACUGGACGUCUCGAGGGGGGUAGGGGCACGCGGAACUUCCGGUGGAGCGGUGAAAUGCGUAGAUAUCGGAAGGAACGCCGGUGGCGAAAGCGGCGUGCUGGACCACUUCUGACGCUGAUGCGCGAAAGCCAGGGGAGCAAACGGG